CAAGCAUAGCAGCAUAUGGUGAAGAUUCAUCCCUGUCAGCUUUAACCUUCAUCCCACCUGUGAUGCGAACCAGGGUUUCUCUCCCAGACAAAUCAGUGACAUGAAUGAAUGUAUCAUUAGAAGAAGCAAAGAUAUGUGCAACCCCAAAAACAUGUUCUCCUUCUCUUACAGCAGGACCAAGGGUGACAUUCUCUUCCUUUGGUUCUCUUGUCUUCUUCUUCGACAUGGCUCAAAGGCUUAUUGGAUUAGAAGAUGAUAGAGGUUGCUGGGAGAGGAACACCGGCGGGUUGCA
rnacentral:misc_RNA from 1 species